CAGUAGCCACGGUAAUACGAGGGGAGCUAGCGUUGUUCGGAAUUACUGGGCGUAAAGCGCGCGUAGGCGGCUUUUUAAGUCAGGGGUGAAAUCCCGGGGCUCAACCCCGGAACUGCCUUUGAUACUGGGAGUCUUGAGUUCGAGAGAGGUGAGUGGAAUUGCGAGUGUAGAGGUGAAAUUCGUAGAUAUUCGGAGGAACACCAGUGGCGAAGGCGGCUCACUGGUCCAUUACUGACGCUGAGGUGCGAAAGCGUGGGGAGCAAACAGGAUUAGAUACCCCUGUAGUCCCUGUCUCUUAUAC
rnacentral:rRNA from 1 species